GAUGAACGCUGGCGGCGUGCCUAAUACAUGCAAGUCGAGCGAACAGACGAGGAGCUUGCUCCUCUGACGUUAGCGGCGGACGGGUGAGUAACACGUGGAUAACCUACCUAUAAGACUGGGAUAACUUCGGGAAACCGGAGCUAAUACCGGAUAAUAUAUUGAACCGCAUGGUUCAAUAGUGAAAGACGGUUUUGCUGUCACUUAUAGAUGGAUCCGCGCCGCAUUAGCUAGUUGGUAAGGUAACGGCUUACCAAGGCAACGAUGCGUAGCCGACCUGAGAGGGUGAUCGGCCACACUGGAACUAAGACACGGUCCAGACUCCUACGGGAGGCAGCAGUAGGGAAUCUUCCGCAAUGGGCGAAAGCCUAACGGAGCAACGCCGCGUGAGUGAUGAAGGUCUUCGGAUCGUAAAACUCUGUUAUUAGGGAAGAACAAAUGUGUAAGUAACUAUGCACGUCUUGACGGUACCUAAUCAGAAAGCCACGGCUAACUACGUG
rnacentral:rRNA from 1 species